CUGCGUUGUUUUCUACCUCCUACUACUUCAUCCUCAUCCCUCCCCUCCGCGCAUCUCUUUGCUUCUCUCCCAACCCCCUCCAUCCUCCUCUGCUUCUCCUGCAGUGCCAUACCGCAUCCUCUUAUGUGCUCCACUGCAAGCACCAACAAGGCAGACGCUUCGCCUUCUCCAGAUCUGUGAAGCGAUGAACAGGGCAUCGAGGCGUUAGGUAUCACGAGAAGAAGCUCUGCCCAUGAUCCCUCGCCACCAAACUCAUUCUACCAGGGGAGACUAGCCACCAUCUGAAUGGCUUCGUCGACUCAAAGCUCCCCGAGUGUCGGUCAAGCACUUCAUGACGUGGUACCUCCUGGUCGUUUUAUAUGCGUAGCUGUGGAGCCAUCUCCGGCGCCUCUGCCAUAAAGGGUGUUGUCGAUUUUGCUUCGUGCAUGUCUGCUUCCGCUCAAGUUAUAGCACUGGGUGAAAUUUUGAGUCCCCAUCGCCAGUUGGUACCUCCCUCUCAUCAUCUGAUAUGUAUCAGGUUGUUCUGUAUUCCUCCAUGGAUCUAUUCCUAAACAUAUACUGUACUAUCUUGCUACUUUUUCGUCAGGUUAUCCUACACGAUUUGCUGAUUAUUGUUUUUCUACAGCAAAAGGGUCUCGCCCCGAUUCCGUUUCAGAAAUCAGGUACUAUAUAGUUUGGUAGCAAGAGGAACACAGCUAACAUACAGGCUCAGCGGAAAGAAAGGAAGGAAACGCCAACCAGCCACUAGGAAAGGCAUAUAACUUUUGUAUUUGCGAGAAAAAAGGCGUAUAACUAAUUACAGAGAUUUCAUACACAUUAACUCGAAAUGACAGAAUAAUCAGGCUGAGGAGAUUAAUUGCCGAUUAUUUUUCACAUGCCUUCUAUACUUAUGCACAUGAAUGAAUUCCCUAUUUUUUGCAUCCUCAAUCGUGCAUCUUUAAUUAUUUAUUGGUUGUUGUUCUGAAUUGUUGUGAAAUUGUGCUAUCUAAUUUCCUACAUAUAUGGUUAUCGUACUUGAGGGUUGGAGGUCCAAGAUUUAUAUUGACAUGCACAAUAUCAAAACAGGGAAAACAAUCUUAAGCACUGCAGAUUGUUUCUCUAGCUCUAUAGGAUAUUGUAGAUUAUUUCAAGUUUUGAUGUUUACUUUCAGUUGUCCAAGCAUAUUUUCCUAACAAUUGUAUCUUUUCUUUACCAGGAGAUUUUAUUCCUCAUUUAAGUUCCUUUCAAGAAUCAAGACUACCAUGGACAAUUUUUUUGUUUCAACUCAUGUAAACCUAAAGUGUUGGCUGCAUGUUGUCAUGAGAAUAGGAUCAUCGGCUUAAGGUAAAUACAUAUCUCAAUAAACCAUUUAAUGAUUAUAAUUUCUAAUUGUUCCUUUGUUUUGACUAAGAAAUAUAAGAGCAUAUGAGCAGAGAAACUGUAGACAAAAUACAAUCUACAGCCAUCCAUGGUCAUUAUUACAAGGGCAAAGGAGGUUGCGUAACUCUGGUGGUCAAAAACACUGUUGUCCGCGCUUCUAUAUCCUAAGUAUUAGGGCUAAUAACCGCCCUGCAAGGCUCCAAAAAGGUAUUUGUUUCUCUUACCAUGACAAUGAUGCAGCUCCCAGCACACAGGAAAGUGCCGUCAGAUAACACACAUAUUCGUCUCCCUUUCUUUUGUGUGUGCGCGUGUGUGCUCAGAUAUUCAUUUUUUCCCACUUCGUGAAUCAUUCAUGCCCGCUAUAUUCAUUCAGCCUGAUGCUCAACAAUUUUUUUUUUGCAUACACGCUUGUGGUAUUACUUACUGAUGUUUCUUUUGCCGUGCAGGGGAUGCUCUUUAGAAAAUUUGUUACCUCUAAAGCCAUAUUUUCUGAAAUGAAAUUUGAUCAUUCCUAUGCCCCCUCCAUUUUCUUGAAUUGAAGUUCCAUCAUAGUUUGCAGAAAUCAGCUUAUUAGUUGUCCUCUUAGAUCAAUCCUCAAGUUUGUUAUAAGUUGUUUGCCACCUUAUGACUAAUGACAAUGUUCUAAAUAAAACAAAUUGUACUUCCAUAUGUGUCUAGCUCUCCAUGUUUCAAUUUCUCAGAAGUAAAGACGCACUUCAAUAAUUUUAAGCUAAGCUUCUUGCUUGCUUUCCGGAAUAAUUAUUUUGUUAUAUGUGCCAACUGGCUACAUUCAAUUUAACCUUUGCUUUAUGGUAUAAUAAUAUUCAAAUAUUUCAUGAGGUCAUGGGUUUGAGUCAUGCCUCUUGCAGAAAUGUAGGGAAAGACUGCAUAGUACGACCCAAAGCAGUCGAACCCUUACCGGACCCUAUGCAAGCGGGAGCUACGUGCACCGGGCCGCUCCCUUUAUGGUAAUAAUAAUAUUCAAAUAUUUCAUUAUGUGAUGAGGUGACAUUAUUAGAGGCUAAUUCACCUUGGAUUGUUCUAUUCCUCUCCAGAAAAGAUUUGCAUAUAUACGACAUGUGCACUGUGAUUGGAUUGCAACUGAGUUGCAUUUGUCCUUAUCAUUCUAUUGUACUAGAGUGCAUGCAUUCUCACUUUUGUAUUGUCUAUUUAUACAAACAACCGUAGAUAACUUAUGCUACUCCACGGUAUUAACAUACUUACUAAUUGAAAAAGCACCUUAUGAUCUGUACAAUUGCCCUUGAUAUGUCCACUAUAUUUUCCUAA